AGUGUUUAUAGAACAGUCUGUUAAAACAGUGAUCCAGUGUCAAACUGGAAUUAUGAUAUUUUCCGGUUAACAUUCCAAACCUCUGAAGCUCUAAUUAUAACAUACAAUAGACACUACAUUAUGAUUCAUAAAGGACAUGCAGCUUGUCUGAAUUACAAUUUGCAGGCAAGUCAAAGUGUCUUCUGCAAUAUAACAAAUACAUUCGGCAAAAAUGUUCACCCGAAAAGGACAUCAGGGUCUUUUAAAUGAUCAAGAAUGGAGCAGAGAGAGAUGUUCUCUCAUUGGUUAACAUACAGCAUUGUGGACACACCCUGCACAAAACACACACAAUCCCAGUAUAUCUAGACACACUACUGCACGAAUGGAGACAGACUUAAGUCUUCAAUGCAGAGGAAAGAUGCUUCUUGGAUCUGGUGCUGUGUUUUUCUUGCUCAUUCUAGGGGUUGCGGCACAGUCCAAAGUGUCUCAGGACCAAAUUUCCAUCACAAAGAGCAAAGACAAAAGCAUCGCCAUCUCCUGUGAAACCUCUAGCUUGGGCUCAAGUACUUACAUCCAUUGGUACCAGAAGAAAGAGGGUGAACCCUUUAAAAGGAUUUCCUACAUCAAAAAUGACGGUACAGCUUCAACCCGGGAUCCAGCCCAUCCUCAGAACCGCGACUUCAACGCUUACAAGAAUGGUGAUCGUCAGUACCUGAAGAUCUCUGCUGUAAAACCUGAGCACAGUGGCACCUAUUACUGUGCCUACUGGAAAUACCACAGCAGCACAGAGACCCUGAACCACAGUACAAAAACCGCCAGAAGGCUCAGGUUCCACUUCUACAGCAACAAACCUGACAAGCACAUUCUGAAAUUAUUAACAUCUAUCAAAAACAAUGUCAAAUUAAUAUUUUGCAAGACCACAUACAUAAAACAAAGUUAUAUUUGUGAAGCAAUGUAUUAA